rnacentral:lncRNA from 1 species
UUUUUUUUUUUUUUUUUGAGACGGAGUCUUGCUCUAUCUCCAGGCUGGAGUGCAGUGGCACGAUCUCGGCUCACUGCAACCUCUGCCUCCUGGGUUCAAGCGAUUCCUUUGCCUCAGCCUCCUGAGUAGCUGGGACUACAGAUGUGUGCCACCAAGCCUGGCUAGUUUUUCACAUUUUAGUAGAGACAGGGUUUCACUAUGUUGGUCAGAAUGGUCUUGAUCUCCUGACCUCGUGAUCCACCUGCCUCGGCCUCCCAAAGUGCUGGGAUAACAGACGUGAGCCACCAUGCCUCACAUUUUUUUUUUUCCAGUUUCUGUCUAUUAUUGUUGUAUACUUGCAUUUGAGUUUAGUCAUAGAAAAUAAUUCAUAAAAUUUCAGUUUUAAAAAAUUUGGUAAGACUUCUUUUUUGGCCUAAGAGGUGGUCUAUCAAGAAAUAUGUUGUAUGAGCUAUUGAGAAGGGUGUGUAUCCUGAUGUUGAGGAGUGCUCUCUAUACCUCUGUCAGAAAUAUUUGUUUUAUACCACCUUUAAGUAGUCUGUUUCCUUAUUAAUAUUCUGUUUUGAUUUUUUUUUAAUUAUACUUUAAAUUCUGGGGUACAUGUGCAGAGCAUACAGGUUUGUUACAUAGGUAUGCACAUGCUCUGGUGGUUUGCUGUACCUAUCAACCUGUUAUCUACAUUAGGUAUUUUUCCUAAUGUUAUUCAUCCACUAGCCUCCCACCCCACCACAGGCCCCGGUGUGUGAUGUGCCCCUUCCUGUGUCCCUGUGUUGUCGUUGUUCAACUCCCACUUAUGAGUGAGAACAUGCUGUGUUUAGUUUUCUGUUCUUGUGUUAGUUUGCUGAGAAUGAUGGUUUCCAGCUUUAUCCAUGUCUCUGCAAAGGACAUGAACUCAUCCUUUUUUAUGGCUGCAUACUGUUACGUGGUGUGUAUGUGCCACAUUUUCUUUAUCCAGUCUAUUACUAAUGGGCAUUUGGGUGGGUUCCAAAUCUUUGCUAUUGUGAAUAGUGCUGCAAUAAACGUAUGUGUGCAUGUGUCUUUAUAGUAGAAUGAUUUAUAAUUUUUUGGGUACCCAGUAAUAGAAUUGCUGAGUCAAAUGGUAUUUCUAGUUCUGGAUCCUUGAGGAAUUGCCACAUUGUCUUCCACAAUCGCUGAACUAAUUUACACUCCAACCAACAGUGUAAAAGCAUUCGUACUUCUCCACAUCUUCUCGAGCAUCUGUUAUUUCCUGACUUUUUAAUGAUCACCAUUCUAACUGGGAUGAAAUGGUAUCUCAUUGUGGUUUUCAUUUGCAUUUCUCUAAUGACCCGUGAUGAUGAGCUUUUUUUCAUAUGUUUGUUGGCCACACAAAUAUCUUUUUUUGAGAAGUAUCUGUUCAUAUCCUUUGCCCACUUUUUGAUGUUUUUUUUUUUU